rnacentral:rRNA from 1 species
AUCUCAUGGAGAGUUCGAUCCAGGCUCAGGAUGAAC